UGGGAUAAACUGUUGAAAAAUUGAAGAACGUAGCAACCUUUCUUACAAAACGUGGCCACCAGGCCGAAAUUAGUAACCUACUCGUACUCUGCUGCAACAGAAUUUAUAAAUUUCAAAACCAUCAUGUCGUCGUCAGUCUCAUUAUCAAUAUUAGUUUGCCUCGAACGUCUCGUUCCAUUUUGAUUUUUAAUUUUAACAUGGGACAGAUUAGCGACUAAUAUAAAGAGAUUGUAUUUGUGUGUCAAGAGGGAUCUAAUUAUUAUUUGAAUUUUCAGCCUGUAGUAGUCGCGAGUGAUGGAAAAAGUUGUCUCCAGACUGUGAUGUUUGUUCUCUUCCUGACUGUUUGAAGACAGUAGACAUUACUAUUCGACGUGUCAAGUCUGGAGAGCUAAAGUAUUGGCAACUGCAGUAUCUGAGUUGGCAACUGUGGAGCUAAAACUCAUGGGUUCGACCAAUAUUUGGAAUUUGGAUUUUUCUAAAUGUCCUCAAGACGCACAA